UGGUUCUGGCAUCGAUGAAGAACGCAGCGAAAUGCGAUAAGUAAUGUGAAUUGCAGAAUUCAGUGAAUCAUCGAAUCUUUGAACGCACAUUGCGCCCGCCAGCACUCUGGCGGGCAUGCCUGUCCGAGCGUCAUCGCAACCCCCGGGCCCCGUCCGGCGUUGGGUCGCCGCGUGCAGCGGCCCCCCCAAGGACAGUGGCGGGAUCGUCCGCACCCCUGGCGUAGUACAUACCCCGUCUAGGGCGUGCGGGAGUCUCCCUGCCGUCAAGCGAGAAUCUCAAGGUUGACCUCGGGUCAGGUAGGAAUACCCGCUGA
rnacentral:misc_RNA from 1 species